GCAUCGGUAGCUCAGCUGGAUAGAGCGCCUGUCUGCUAAACGGGGGGUCGCUGGUUCGAGCCCAGUCCGGUGCA
rnacentral:tRNA from 1 species